GUAGGGUGCAAGCGUUAAUCGGAAUNACUGGGCGUAAAGCGUGCGCAGGCGGCUUUGCAAGACAGAUGUGAAAUCCCCGGGCUCAACCUGGGAACUGCAUNUGUGACUGCAAGGCUGGAGUACGGCAGAGGGGGAUGGAAUUCCGCGUGUAGCAGUGAAAUGCGUAGAUAUGCGGAGGAACACCGAUGGCGAAGGCAAUCCCCUGGGCCUGUACUGACGCUCAUGCACGAAAGCGUGGGGAGCAAACAGGAUUAGAUACCCUAGUAGUCCACGCCGUAAACGAUGAGAACUCGGUGUUGGGGGAAUAACUCAGUGCCGCAGUUAACGCAAUAAGUUCUCCGCCUGGGGAGU
rnacentral:rRNA from 1 species